ensembl:lncRNA LINC01911 long intergenic non-protein coding RNA 1911
GUACAUGGGCAGAAAGGUGAAAAUUGUGGCCAGAGGCAGAUUGUGGUAAAUUACAAAAUUGGCUCAUAAUCCUUUAUUCCUUCUUGCCUCCAUGCUCUUUGCAAUGUGACUUUGCCACUUUUCUCAUUAAGAGAUGGAUUCUGUUCUCCAUUGCCUUCUGUCUGGACUGGUCUUGUAACUUGUUCUGGUUAAUACAGAGGUAAAUGUGAUGACACAUCAGAAGCCCAGGCCUCAAGCAAGCUUUCCCACUUGUUCUCUUGGAACCCUUCCCAGCUAUCAGACACUACUGGCAAAGACAUUGAAAAGAAUCACACUGCUAAACCAGUAGCAGCUUUUAUCUUCUUCUCAGAUUGUAUACAUGCAGGAUAAAAGUGUUUCUAACACAUAGACUUCUAUAUUCCAGCAUAAAGAUGUAUUAGGCGCAUUUAUACUUUUACAUCGAAGCCUGUUUCAACAUGAACGGAGCCCAGGGAAGUUGGUGACUUAAUCCUCGUUAUACCCUGAUUUUGGACAAAUUUUACAAGAAGAAUAGGACUUCUACUUCUCUAUGUCUACAUGCACCUGGAACAGUGCUAGGUCUAUGCUUACAAAUUGAUUGGUUCAGGUCACCGCCAUGAGCCUCAGGACAGAAAAUUGCCGGAUAUGAGAGAGAGAGAGAGAUUUGACUGGGCUAAGAAAGAAAUGAACACGAUUUAGAGAUGGAAAUGGUGACAUAUGGGCCUUUGAAGCCUCCCAUGUUCCAGAGAAGGUGAGGUUUCACCAUGUUAGUCAGGAUGGUCUCGAUCUCCUGACCUCGUGACCUGCCCAGCUCGGCCUCCCAAAGUGCUGGGAUUACAGGCAUGAGCCAUUGCGCCUAACCUCAGAAACCAUUUUUAUAACCUCAAUACCUAAUAGAAACUGGCACAUGGCCCCUGUGAGCUGUGACUGCAAGAGUCAGCACCUAAAUUAGAUCAACACUACAACAUCAAAAAGCCAGCUUGAUGGCACAGCGGGGAGUGAGGAAGACUCGGUGGACAAAUCUGACUGGAAAACAAGUAGGCGUUGCAGAUGGUGAGUUCAGCACUGCCUCUGCUGUAGUGAGCUACGCCCAACCUAGAAAUGCAUCUUGCUGGCAAUGUCUCUCCAAGAGCCUCCCCUUUUGCUGUCAGGAGCACAAGGGGCAUGCAGAGAAGUUGAGAGCUGAGCAUUGCAUGCUACUGAGCAGCUGCACUCAGUGGUGCAGAGGAGGGACAGGAGGCACCCAUAAGGGAGGAAAUGAAUAGGGCUGUUUUACUUGCUAAAAAGACUCACCUUUUGUCUCCUCCUGAGCUGACAUCCUUUUCUUGCUACUCCACCAUUAUAUUCUCUUUAAACAGUCAUUUUUAUUACAGUUAA